rnacentral:rRNA from 1 species
AGAGUUUGAUCCUGGCUCAGGAUGAACGCUAGCGGCAGGCCUAAUACAUGCAAGGCGAGGGGUUCGCAAGGACACCGUCGUACGGGUGCGUAACGCGUAUGCAACCUACCUAUCACAGGGGGAUAGCCUUUGGAAACAGGGAUUAAUACCGCAUAAAGCAGGGGCUUGGCAUCAAGAUACUGCUAAAGAUUUAUCGGUGAUAGAUGGGCAUGCGUCUGAUUAGUUAGAUGGUGAGGUAACGGCUCACCAUGACGAUGAUCAGUAGGGGGCGUCAGAGCGUGGUCCCCCACACUGGCACUGAGAUACGGGCCAGACUCCUACGGGAGGCAGCAGUAGGGAAUAUUGGGCAAUGGAUGCAAGUCUGACCCAGCCAUGCCGCGUGCAGGAAGAAGGUCCUCUGGAUUGUAAACUGCUUUUGUCGGGGAAGAAUAGGUCUCUUGCGAGGGAUUGUGACGGUACCCGAUGAAUAAGCCACGGCUAACUACGUGCCAGCAGCCGCGGUAAUACGUAGGUGGCAAGCGUUGUCCGGAUUUAUUGGGUUUAAAGGGUGCGUAGGUGGUUUGCUAAGUCAGUGGUGAAAGCUGGUUGCUCAACAAUCAAGUUGCCAUUGAUACUGUCAGACUUGAGAGAAGUGGAGGCUCAUGGAAUGGAUGGUGUAGCGGUGAAAUGCAUAGAUAUCAUCCAGAACGUCGAUUGCGAAGGCAGUGGGCUGUACUUUUUCUGACACUGAGGCACGAAAGCGUGGGGAUCAAACAGGAUUAGAUACCCUGGUAGUCC